rnacentral:lncRNA from 1 species
CAUCUACCAGCUGAAAAAAAGAGGCUCUAUUCAACCCUAAACCCCUAAAAGCAAAAGGAAGCAAAGCCGGAAAAGCUUCCUCAAGAAUACACUUUGCUUUCAAAAUCCAAAGACACCAUUAACGAGGGAAAGCGGAAGGGCAUUUGCCCUAACACAAACUCAAACAGAAAUUGAAACAAUUUGAAAGUCGAUACUGAUCCAGAUUAAAGAAAACCCUAGAUUCGACGUUUCUUCAACAUAGACCACGAUUCUCGAGAUUCAAACUCGCAACACCAAAUUUCAACCCUGAAAAAAAAAAAAGUGGAACCAAAUAAAAUUAGCAAAACAAAGAAGACAACAAUCACAGAGAAACCGCAGAUCCUAUUCACAAAACUCCACCAAAAAAAAAAAAAACAAAAAACAAAAUAAACGUAAAAACAAUCUUCACGAGGUAACUCACAGCUUUGUGAAUCAAAGAAAGAAGCCUUCUCUUCUACCUCCUUUACUGAAGCACCAGAAAGAGCUGUGAGCUCACUUUUCUCUCUCUCUCUCC